rnacentral:tRNA from 1 species
CUGAACAGGCGGGCCUUGAUCCCGCAAAAACUAAUUAACAGCUAGCUACCCAAACCAGCGGGCUUCAAUUCG